GGAGAGGGCAGCUAAGGCGACGACAAGGGCUCCGGUAAAGACGUGCAGGACCUCACACUGCCGUCGGGGGUGUUCUUCGCGGCGAUUCUCUCCCAGGUUUGGAAAGGGAUCACUGAUGGGGAGCUCGAUGUGCUGGACACAUUUGAAGAAGAAGAGUAUGUGAGGGAAGUUGUUGGCAUCUCACUGACCGAUUCGCGGGAUACAGUGAUCGACUAUCCAUACAUAUGGGGGAAUGUAGAUGAUCCUGGCCUCUAUAGUGAAUGGGAUUUUGAUGUCGACGGCUCUGCCGACGUGAGGGAUCUCAGGUCGCCGUCGCCCUUUGGGAGCUCCCUCUCCUUCCUGCCUUCUUACCGUGGUGCCAGGGAUCAACGUCCAGACGCCAGCACGAUAGAGCUAUUGUGCUGCUGCCUCAGGUUGUCCAGGCGCGUCAUCGGUCCCAGCUACCCAUCAUCAAGAUCCGACGUCCUUUGUCCUUUUUU